rnacentral:misc_RNA from 1 species
UUAAGUUCAGCGGGUAUCCCUACCUGAUCCGAGGUCAACCUUGGAAAAAUAGACCGAAGGUCGAUUGUCCGGCGGCCGUCGCCCAGCACUCCAAAGCGAGAUAUUUUACUACUACGCUCGAGGCUAGGACGCCGUCGCCGAGGUCUUCAAGGCACGUCCGGCAGCGGACGUUGCCCAAUACCAAGCAGAGCUUGAGGGUU